UUUUUUUUGGUCUAACUAACUCCAAAAGGUUGGAAAAGAGUUCCUACAAAGGUUUUGGACAGUGAUUUUAACCCUAACGCCAAAACCCUUAAACCUUUCCCUAGUCCCAAAACCUAAUACACGGGUAUUACUUUCAGGGAGCCCGAAAACCCCCAAUAAUAUUUUUUUCUUUUUUCAUAUUUUUUGGUCUAACUAACUCCAAAAGGUUGGAAAAGAGUUCCUACAAAGGUUUUGGACAGUGAUUUUAACCCUAACGCCAAAACCCUUAAACCUUUCCCUAGUCCCAAAACCUAAUACACGGGUAUUACUUUCAGGGAGCCCGAAAACCCCCAAUAAUAUUUUUUUCUUUUUUCAUAUUUUUUGGUCUAACUAACUCCAAAAGGUUGGAAAAGAGUUCCUACAAAGGUUUUGGACAGUGAUUUUAACCCUAACGCCAAAAAACUUAAACCUUACCCUAGCCUUGAAAUCUAAUACCCGGGUAUUACCUUCAGGAAGCCUGAACACCCCAAAUAUUUUUUUCUUCAUUUUACAUUUUUUUUUGGUCUAACUAACUCCAAAAGGUUGGAAAAGAGUUCCUACAAAGGUUUUGGACAGUGAUUUUAACCCUAACGCCAAAAAACUUAAACCUUACCAUAGCCCCAAAACCUAAUAAUACCCCCAAUAAUAUUUUUUUCUUUUUUCAUAUUUUUUGGUCUAACUAACUCCAAAAGGUUGGAAAAGAGUUCCUACAAAGGUUUUGGACAGUGAUUUUAACCCUAACGCCAAAAAACUUAAACCUUUCCCUGGCCUUAAAAUCUAAUACCCGGGUAUUACAUUCAGGAAGCCCGUAAACCCCAAAUAUAUUUUUUUUCAUUUUUCUUUUUUUUUUUGGUCUAACUAACUCCAAAAGGUUGAAAAAGAGUUCCUACAAAGGUUUUGGACAGUGAUUUUAACCCUAACGCCAAAAACCUUAAACCUUACCAUAGCCCCAUAACCUAAUUCCCGGGUAUUACUUUUAGGAAGCCUGAACACCCCAAAUAUAUAUUUUUUCAUUUUUCUUUUUUUUUUGGUCUAACUAACUCCAAAAGGUUGGAAAAGAGUUCCUACAAAGGUUUUGGACAGUGAUUUUAACCCUAACGCCAAAAACCUUAAACCUUACCCUGGCCUUUAAAUCUAAUACCCGGGUAUUACAUUCAGGAAGCCCGUAAACCCCAAAUAUUUUUUUUUCAUUUUUCAUUUUUUUUUGGUCUAAGUAACUCCAAAAGGUUGGAAAAGAGUUCCUACAAAGGUUUUGGACAGUGAUUUUAACCCUAACGCCAAAAACCUUAAACCUUACCAUAGCCCCAUAACCUAAUACCGGGGUAUUACUUUUAGGAAGCCUGAACACCCCAAAUAUUUUUUUUUCAUUUUUCAUUUUUUUUUGGUCUAAGUAACUCCAAAAGGUUCGAAAAGAGUUCCUACAAAGGUUUUGGACAGUGAUUUUAACCCUAACGCCAUAAAACUUAAACCUUACCCUAGCCUUAAAAUCUAAUACCCGGGUAUUACAUUCAGGAAGCCCGAAAACCCCAAACAUUUUUUUUUCAUUUUUCAUUUUUUUUUUUGGUCUAACUAACUCCAAAAGGUUGGAAAAGAGUUCCUACAAAGGUUUUGGACAGUGACUUUAACCCUAACGCCAAAAACCUUAAACCUUACCCUAGCCUUAAAAUCUAAUACCCGGGUAUUACCUUCAGGAAGCCCGAACACCCCAAAUAUAUUUUUUUUCAUUUUUCAUUCUUUUUUUGGUCAGACUAAAUCCAAAAGGUUAGAAAAGAGUUCCUACAAAGGUUUUGGACAGUGAUUUUAAACCUAACGCCAAAACGUUAAACCUUACCAUAGCCCCAUAACCUAAUACUCGGGUAUUAUUUUUAGGAAGCCUGAACACCCCAAAUAUUUUUUUUCAUUUUUCUUUUUUUUUGUCUAACUAACUCCAAAAGGUUGGAAAGAGUUCCUACAAAGGUUUUGGACAGUGAUUUUAACCCUAAGCCAAAAACCUUAAACCUUACCCUAGCCCCAAAACCUAAUACCCGGGUAUUACUUUUAGGAAGCCUGAACACCCCAAAUAUUUUUCUUUCAUUUUUCUUUUUUUUUUGGUCCAACCAAAUCCAAAAGGUUGGAAAAGAGUUCCUACAAAGGUUUUGGACAGUGAUUUUAACCCUAACGCCAAAAACUUAAACCUUACCCUGGCCUUAAAAUCUAAUACCCGGGUAUUACAUUCAGGAAGCCCGAAAACCCCAAAUAUUUUUUUUUUCAUUUUUCAUUCUUUUUUUGGUCUAACUCCAAAAGGUUGGAAAAGAGUUCCUACAAAGGUUUUGGACAGUGAUUUUAAACCUAAUGCCAAAAACCUUAAACCAUACCAUAGCCCCAUAACCUAAUACCCGGGUAUUACCUUCAGGAAGCCCGAAAACCCCAAACAUUUUUUUUUCAUUUUACAUUUUUUUUUGGUCUAACUAACUCCAAAAGGUUGGGAAAGAGUUCCUACAAAGGUUUUGGACAGUGAUUUUAACCCUAAUGCCAAAAACUUUAAACCUUACCAUAGCCCCAUAACCUAAUACCCGGGUAUUACUUUUAGGAAGCCUGAACACCCCAAAUUUUUUUUUUUCAUUUUUUUUUUUGGUCUAACUAACUCCAAAAGGUUGGGAAAGAGUUCCUACAAAGGUUUUGGACAGUGAUUUUAACCCUAACGCCAAAAACCUUAAACCUUACCAUAGCCCCAUAACCUAAUACCCGGGUAUUACUUUUAGGAAGCCUGAACACCCCAAAUAUUUUUUUUUCAUUUUUCGUUUUUUUUUUGGUCUAAGUAACUCCAAAAGGUUGGAAAAGAGUUCCUACAAAGGUUUUGGACAGUGAUUUUAACCCUAACGCCAUUAAGCUUAAACCUUACCCUAGCCUUUAAAUCUAAUACCCGUGUAUUACCACAGGAAGCCCGAACACCCCAAAUAUUUUUUUUUCUUUUUUCAUAUUUUUUUGGUCUAACUAACUCCAAAAGGUUGGAAAAGAGUUCCUACAAAGGUUUUGGACAGUGAUUUUAACCCUAACGCCAAAAACCUUAAACCUUACCAUAGCCCCAUAACCUAAUACCGGGGUAUUACCUUCAGGAAGCCCGAAAACACCAAAUAUUUUUUUUUUCAUUUUUCGUUUUUUUUUUUGGUCUAACUAACUCCAAAAGGUUGGAAAAGAGUUCCUACAAAGGUUUUGGACAGUGAUUUUAAACCUAAUGCCAUUAAGCUUAAACCUUACCAUAGCCCCAUAACCUAAUACCCGGGUAUUACCUUCAGGAAGCCCGAAAACACCAAAUAUUUUUUUUUUCAUUUUUCUUUUUUUUUUGGUCUAACUAGCUCCAAAAAAUUGGAAAUGAGUUCCUACAAAGGUUUUGGACAGUGAUUUUAAACCUAAUGCCAAAAACUUUAAACCUUACCAUAGCCCCAUAACCUAAUUACCUGGGUAUUACCUUCAGGAAGCCCGAACACCCCAAAUAUUUUUUUUUCCUUUUUCAUAUUUUUUGGUCUAACUAACUCCAAAAGGUUGGAAAAGAGUUCUUACAAAGGUUUUGGACAGUGACUUUAACCCUAAUGCAAAAAACCUUAAACCUUACCAUAGCCCCAUAACCUAAUACCUGGGUAUUACAUUUAGGAAGCCUGAACACCCCAAAUAUUUUUUUUUCAUUUUUCUUUUUUUUUUGGUCUAACUAACUCCAAAAGGUUGGAAAAUAGUUCCUAUAAAGGUUUUGGACAGUGAUUUUAACCCUAACGCCAUAAACCUUAAACCUUACCAUAGCCCCAUAACCUAAUACCCGGGUAUUACUUUUAGGAAGCCUGAACACCCCAAAUAUUUUUUUUUCAUUUUUCGUUUUUUUUUUUGGUCUAACUAACUCCAAAAGGUUGGAAAAGAGUUCCUACAAAGGUUUUGGACAGUGAUUUUAACCCUAACGCCAAAAACCUUAAACCUUACCAUAGCCCCAUAACCUAAUACCGGGGUAUUACUUUUAGGAAGCCUGAACACCCCAAAUAUUUUUUUUUCAUUUUUCAUUUUUUUUUUGGUGUAACCAACUCCAAAAGGUUGGAAAAGAGUUCCUACAAAGGUUUUGGACAGUGAUUUUAACCCUAAUGCCAAAAAACUUAAACCUAACCCUAGCCUUAAAAUCUAAUACCCGGGUAUUACAUUCAGGAAGCCCGAAAACCCCAAACAUUUUUUUUUCAUUUUUCAUUUUUUUGUGGUCUAACUAACUCCAAAAGGUUGGGAAAGAGUUCCUAAAAAGGUUUUGGACAGUGAUUUUAAACCUAAUGCCAAAAACUUUAAACCUUACCAUAGCCCCAUAACCUAAUACCCGGGUAUUACUUUUAGGAAGCCUGAACACCCCAAAUAUAUUUUUUUUCAUUUUUCAUUUUUUUUUUUUGGUCUAACUAACUCCAAAAGGUUGGAAAAGAGUUCCUACAAAGGUUUUGGACAGUGAUUUUAAACCUAAUGCCAUUAAGCUUAAACCUUACCAUAGCCCCAUAACCUAAUACCCGGGUAUUACCUUCAGGAAGCCCGAAAACACCAAUAUUUUUUUUUUCAUUUUUCAUUUUUUUUGGUCUAACUAACUCCAAAAGGUUGGAAAAUAGUUCCUAUAAAGGUUUUGGACAGUGAUUUUAACCCUAACGCCAUAAACCUUAAACCUUACCAUAGCCCCAUAACCUAAUACCCGGGUAUUACUUUUAGGAAGCCUGAACACCCCAAAUAUUUUUUUUUCAUAUUUCGUUUUUUUUUUUGGUCUAACUAACUCCAAAAGGUUGGAAAAGAGUUCCUACAAAGGUUUUGGACAGUGAUUUUAACCCUAACGCCAAAAAACUUAAACCUUUCCCUGGCCUUAAAAUCUAAUACCCGGGUAUUACAUUCAGGAAGCCCGAAAACCCCAAAUAUUUUUUUUUCAUUUUACAUUUUUGUUGGUGUAACUAACUCCAAAAGGUUGGAAAAGAGUUCCUACUAAGGUUUUGGACAGUGAUUUUAACCCUAACGCCAAAAACCUUAAACCUUACCCUAGCCCCAAAACCUAAUACCCGGGUAUUACCUUCAGGAAGCCCGAAAACCCCAAAUAUAUUUUUUUCCUUUUUCAUAUAAUUUUUUGGUCUAGCUAACUCCAAAAGGUUGGAAAAGAGUUCCUACAAAGGUUUUGGACAGUGAUUUUAACACUAACGCCAAAAACCUUAAACCUUACCAUAGCCCUAUAACCUAAUACCGGGGUAUUACUUUUAGGAAGCCUGAACACCCCAAAUAUGUUUUUUUUCAUUUUUCAUUUUUUUUUGGUCUAACUAACUCCAAAAGGUUGGAAAAGAGUUCCUACAAAGGUUUUGGACAGUGAUUUUAACCCUAAUGCCAAAAACCUUAAACCUUUCCCUAGCCACAAAACCUAAUACCCGGGUAUUACCUUCAGGAAGCCCGAAAACCCCAAAUAUAUUUUUUUCAUUUUUCUUUAUUUUUUUGGUCUAACUAACUCCAAAAGGUUGGAAAAGAGUUCCUACAAAGGUUUUGGACAGUGAUUUUAACCCUAACGCCAAAAACCUUAAACCUUACCCAAGCCCCAUAACCUAAUAUAAUACCUGUAUAACCUUCAGGAGUCCUGAACACCCAAAAUACUUUUUUUUUUUUCUUUUUUUUUUUUGGUCUAACUAACUCCAAAAGGUCUGAAACAUGUUCCUAAAAAGGUUUUGGACAGUGAUUUUAACCCUAACGCCAAAAACCUUAAACCUUACCAUAGCCCCAUAACCUAAUACCUGGGUAUUACCUUCAGGAAGCCCGAAAACCCCCCAAAUUUUUUUUUUCAUUUUACAUUUUUUUUGGUGUAACCAUCUCCAAAAGGUCUGAAACAUGUUCCUAAAAAGGUUUUGGACAGUGAUUUUAACCCUAACGCCAAAAACCUUCAACCUUACCCUAUUCCCGAACCUAACACAUGGGUAUUAACUUAAGGAAGCCUUCACACCCCAAACUUUUUUUUUUUCAUUUUUCUUUUUUUUUUUUUUUUGGUCUAGCUAACUCCAAAAGGUUGGAAAAGAGUUCCUACAAAGGUUUUGGACAGUGAUUUUAACCCUAACGCCAAAAACUUUAAACCUUACCCAAGCCCCAUAACCUAAUAUUAUACCUGUAUAACCUUCAGGAGGCCUUAACACCCAAAAUACUUUUUUUUUUUUUUUCUUUUUUUUUUGGUCUAUCUAACUCCAAAAGUUCUGAAACAUGUUCCUAAAAAGGUUUUGGACAGUGAUUUUAACCCUAACGCCAAAAACCUUAAACCUUACCAUAGCCCCAUAACCUAAUACCUGGGUAUUACUUUUAGGAAGCCUGAACACCCCAUAGUCUAAAAGAUAGACAGCAUGGCAUACCAAUUGAGUGGAGUCAUUAAACUUCCUACCAACACAUAAUUUUUACACACAGAUUGAGCUUGGAGACUUGACUGGGAACAUGUGAUAUGUCAACAUCCCCCUCACCAAUCUUUAUUUUCCACCAUCUCCACCUCUCCCUUAAACCCCCCUCUCCCUCUUCCCUUCUCUCUCUCUCUCUCUCUCUCUCUCUCUCACACACACACACACACACACACACACCUCUCUCUCUCUCUCUCUCUCUCUCUCUCUCUCUCUCUCUCUCUCUCUCUCUCUCCCUCAUCUCUCUCCCUCAUCUCUCCCCCUCUCUCUAACACCCCCCCUUUCUUAUUCCCUCCCCUGCCCCUUUAUUUUCACCUUCACAGAGGACAAAUAGGUGAUCUUCAGCCUCGGCCUACCCCGGCCGGGGGGUAACCCCUGUUGGGUCACCUAUAUGGAGGAUUAAGAGAGACCUGAAGGGGAACCGCCGUGCCCCCUAAAUCCUCCCCCUCUAACAUCUUUUUUAACACUCUAAAAUUAGCCAGCUAACCCCACUACAAACAACUUCAUCAAAAAUUUAAAUAAUAAAUACUUAUCAAUAACUGACCAUCAGUGACACCAGACUAAGUUAGCAAAAAAGAACACACACACACACGUACAGAUUUUCCCUUAGGACAUUGAUCAGAUUUACAUUUCUGUCUUUCUUUUAGGGAACUGUUCUCUGUUUUUAAGCUCACUUCUGAUUUUUGCUAUUUGCUCUUGACAUUUCUUUUUUUCCUUUUUUCUUCCCCUUUCCCUUUUCAAUCCACUUUUGUUCUUCUUUUAUUUUUUCAUUGUUUUAUAUUAUUUUAUUUUAUUUUAGGGUUCCUGUGCUUUUGUUUUUCUUCCCCCUCCCCUCUUUUUUCUUAGGAAGGACUGACUCCUGAGGUUCUCAUGCCAGGAAAAAUGUACCUCCCUCACUCACGGUUUUACCCACAAUCCUUUGCUGCAACAGGGAGAUUGAUUCCCAAGGCUCUCAUGCCAGAAAGGAAGUACCUCACUCCCUCACGGUUUUACCCACAAUCCUUUGCUGUAACAGGAAGAUUGAUUCCUUAGGCUCUCAUCCCUCAGAACUAAAAUACCCACAAUCCCUUGCGAUUGCAUACAAAUUGAAUGUAGCAAAACUCAAUUUAAAACAAUAAACUACAUUAAAAUUAACUUAAAACAACUUGAAGGUUUAAAAUACAACCAAGAGACAUCCAUUCUGGAAUACAAACAUCGUGAAGAGAACACAACCAUGUCUGAGAGGAACAGCACAAACCAUGACUCGAGCCCAACUCUGGGGUUGUCUUCUCGUGUGAAAAGCACAUUCAAGUGCCGUGCACUAAAGAGCAAUUCCUGUUCCAGUUAUUGAGACAAAGCACUGACCUCUGGACCAAGAAGACGGACCACCAUCGAGGAAGACGCCGCGCCGCCAACUGAAAGAAGACGCCGCACCUCCAUCACUCCAAGCCGCCCACCACCGAGCUUCGACCCGCCGACAGCACCGAGUCCCAGCAAACCUUCCCGCGGAGCGCUGAUCUUCUUUCCCCCGCCGAGGACCCCGGACUUUUCCCCCCUCCAACAGAUUUUAGACUACUGGAAAAGAAACCCCUCACAUCAACAACAACUUAGGACCACUAGGGUAAGUCUACAAAAAACCUCUCAAACACCUCAAAAUUACUCUAAAUAGUUAGUUUUGUUUGUUGAACUUGAGUUUGUGUCGUUUUUGAACUUGAGUUUGUGGUGUUUUUGAACUUGAGUUUGUGUCGUGUUUGAAGUUUGUGGCAACUUAUGAACUUGAGUUUGUUUGGCUUGAUUUUUUGGCAAUUGUUGAACUUGAGUCUAUGGUUUUUAGUGAACUUUAGUUGGUGGCAAUUGUUGAACUUUUGUUUGUGGCGUUCGUUGAACUUGAGUUUGUGGUGUUCAUUGAACUUGAGUUUGUGGCAUAUUUGAACUUGAGUUUAUUAUGUUUUUUGAACUUGAGGUUCUGGUGUUUUCUAACUUAAGUUUGUGGAAAUUGUUGAACUUGAGGAUCGGGUGUUGCUUGAACUUGACUUGUUGUGUUUGUUUAACUUGAGUUUGUGGUGUUUGUUGAACUUGAGUUUGUGUGGUGUUUUUGAACUUGAGUUUGUGAAGUGUUUGAACUUGAGUUUGUGUUUUUUUUAACCUUGAGGUUGUGGCAAUUGUUAAACUUGAGAAUCGGGUGGUGGUUGAACUUGAGUUUGUGGUGUUCAUUGAACUUGAGUUUGUGGCAUAUUUGAACUUGAGUUUAUCAUGUUUUUUGAACUAGAGGUUCUGGUGUUUUUUAACUUAAGUUUGUGGAAAUUGUUGAACUUGAGGAUCGGGUGUUGCUUGAACUUGACUUGUUGUGUUUGUUGAACUUGAGUUUUAGUCCUUGAGCCAAGAACCAAAAUUUCACAUAUCGGUACCACCUAGGUGGGCAAAUUCUAGUUGUGAUUUUUUUAUACAUCCCUACAAUAAGUUUUUAUUUGAUAGACCUUGGUAACUGGUAGCUUUAUUGUAGUUAUUACUCAUUGAAGUAAUAGAGUGCAGCUGUUCAAAAACGAAAAAUCGCCUUCCUUCAAAAUGAGCUUUCUUUCAUUUUAACCUCUCAUUUAGGUGUGUUUGAACUAUUGGCUAGCCAUAGAGACUUGUAUUAACCCCCUAAGUAGUAUUUCAAGUAAUUUAUCUAAUACAGGUGUGUAUAUAUAAGCUUCAAUUAGCUAAUUGUCAGGUCUAAAUCAAGGUCUAAAUUAAGGAUAUUUUUUGACUUAGAAGUAGAAAUAAAAUAAAUGCAGACUAAUAGCAUUAUAAUAACACAACUUUAAUAUGACACUGACAUAUUUUAAAUGUAGGCACUCAAUAUACAAUCAUCCUGGCUGGUGCAGGGCAAGAAGACAUUAGCAACAAAAUAAGAUCUACUGAUGUAUACACUCUAUACAAUCAUCUGAGAAAAACUCCAAUUCCUAUUCAAAGUCCUAUUCUUUCCAUAAGGAACAGUGACGGCAAAUAUGACUGUCAAGUUUUGGCUUAGCACAUAAUUCUGUCACUGAGUCACAGUGGGUCUGCUAACAUAGCUCCCUUUGGUCAUCACUUAUUAAUCAACAUCAGUAAUCGACAUCAGUAUCUGUAUCUUCUUCUACAUCUGAAUCUGCCGGUGUGCAAGGGGCUCUUCCUCACUGUACUGGUUGGCACAAGUUUGUAAUUUGCACAGGUUUGUGCACUUCAGCCCAUUGCUGAGACAGGUGCAGUCUGGUGGUUUGCAUGUCCUCACACACUUCAGUUUGUGGUGUUUUUGAACUUCAGUUUGUGGCACUUUUUUAACUUUUAAGUUUUUGGCAAUUGUUAAAUGUGAGUUUAGGUCAUUUGUUGAACUUGAAAUUUUGGAAUUUGUUGAACUUAAGAUUGUGGUGUUUGUUGAACUUGAGUUUGUGGCAAUUGUUGAACUUGAGUCUGUAUUUUUCUCUGAACUUUAGUUGGUGGCAAUUGUUGAACUUGAGUUUGUGGUGUUUUUGCACCUGAGUUUGUGUCGUGUUUGAACUUGAGUUUGUGUUGUUUUUGAACUAGAGGUUGUGGCAAUUGUUAAACUUGAGAUUUGGGUGUUGGUUGAACUUGAGUUUGUGGUGUUUUUUGAUCUUGAGUUUGUGUCUUGUUUGAACUUUUGGUUUGAGAUUUUUUUUUUGUUUGUUUGUUUGUUUUUUUGACUUUAAACCUAACGCCAAACAAUAAAACCUUACCAUAGCCCCAUAACCUAAUACCCGGGUAUUACCUUCAGGAAGCUCGAACACCCCAAAUAUUUUUUUUUCAUUUUACAUUUUUGUUGGUGUAACCAACUCCAAAAGGUUGGAAAAGAGUUCCUACAAAGGUUUUUGACAGUGAUUUUAACCCUAACGCCAAAAACCUUUAACCUUACCAUAGCCCCAUAACCUAAUACCCGGGUAUUACUUUUAGGAAGCCUGAACACCCCAAAUAUUUUUUUUUCAUUUUUCUUUUUUUUUUGGUCAAACUAACUCCAAAAGGUUGGAAAAGAGUUCCUACAAAGGUUUUGGACAGUGAUUCUAACCCUAACGCCAAAAAACUUAAACCUUACCCUAGCCUUAAAAUCUAAUACCCGGGUAUUACAUUCAGGAAGCCCGAAAACCCCAAAUAUUUUUUUUUUCAGUUUUAAUUUUUUUUUGGUCUAACUAACUCCAAAAGGUUGGAAAAGAGUUCUUACAAAGGUUUUGGACAGUGAUUUUAACCCUAAUGCCAAAAACCCUAAUACUUACCAUAGCCCCAUAACCUAAUACCCGGGUAUUACUUUGAGGAAGCCUGAACACCCAAAAUAUAUUUUUUUCAUUUUUCUUUUUUUUGUGGUCUAACUAACUCCAAAAGGUUGAAAAAGAGUUCCUACAAAGGUUUUGGACAGUGAUUUUAACCCUAACGCCAAAAAACUUAAACCUUACCCUGGCUUUAAAAUCUAAUACCCGGGUAUUGCAUUCAGGAAGCCCGGAAACCCCAAAUAUUUUUGUUUUCAUUUUUCAUUCUUUUUUUGGUCUAACUUACUCCAAAAGGUUGGAAAAGAGUUCCUACAAAGGUUUUUGACAGUGAUUUUAAACCUAACGCCAAAACUUAAACCUUACCAUAGCCCCAUAACCUAAUACCCGGGUAUUACUUUUAGGAAGCCUGAACACCCCAAAUAUAUAUUUUUUUCAUUUUACAUUUUUGUUGGUGUAACCAACUCCAAAAGGUUGGAAAAGAGUUCCUACAAAGGUUUUGGACAGUGAUUUUAACCCUAACGCCAAAAACCUUAAACCUUACCAUGGCCCCAUAACCUAAUACCCGGGUAUUACUUUUAGGAAGCCUGAACACCCCAAAUAUAUAUUUUUUUCAUUUUACAUUUUUGUUGGUGUAACCAACUCCAAAAGGUUGGAAAAGAGUUCCUACAAAGGUUUUGGACAGUGAUUUUAACCCUAACGCCAAAAAACUUAAACCUUACCCUAGCCUUAAAAUCUAAUACCCGGGUAUUACCUUCAGGAAGCCCGAACACCCCAAAUAUUUUUUUUUCAUUUUACUUUUUUGUUGUUGUAACCAACUCCAAAAGGUUGGAAAAGAGUUCCUACAAAGGUUUUGGACAGUGAUUUUAACCCUAACGCCAAAAACCUUAAACCUUUCCCUAGUCCCAAAACCUAAUACCCGGGUAUUACUUUCAGGGAGCCCGAAAACCCCCAAUAAUUUUUUUUUCUUUUUUCAUUUUUUUUGGUGUAACCAGCUCCAAAAGGUUGGAAAAGAGUUCCUACAAAGGUUUUGGACAGUGAUUUUAACCCUAACGCCAAAAACCUUAAACCUUACCCUAGCCUUAAAAUCUAAUACCGGGGUAUUACCUUCAGGAAGCCCGAACACCCCAAAUAUUUUUUUGUUCAUUUUACAUUUUUGUUGGUGUAACCAACUCCAAAAGGUUGGAAAAGAGUUCCUACAAAGGUUUUGGACAGUGAUUUUAACCCUAACGCCAAAAAACUUAAACCUUACCCUAGCCUUAAAAUCUAAUACCCGGGUAUUACAUUCAGGAAGCCCGAAAACCCCAAAUAUAUAUUUUUUCAUUUUUCAUUUUUUUUUGGUUUAUCUAAUUCCAAAAGGUUGGAAAAGUGUUCCUACAAAGGUUUUGGACAGGGAUUUUAACCCUUAUGCCAAAAAACUUAAACCUUACCCUAGCCACAAAACCUAAUACCUGGGUAUUACUUUUAGGAAGCCUGAACUCCCCAAAUAUUUUUUUUUCAUUUUUCUUUUUUUUUUGGUCAAACUAACUCCAAAAGGUUGGAAAAGAGUUCCUACAAAGGUUUUGGACAGUGAUUUUAACCCUGACGCCAAAAACCUUAAACCUUUCCCCAGUCCCAAAACCUAAUACCUGGGUAUUACCUUCAGGGAGCCCGAAAACCCCCAAUAAUAUAUUUUUUUUUUUCAUAUUUUUUGGUCUAACUAACUCCAAAAGGUUGGAAAAGAGUUCCUACAAAGGUUUUGGACAGUGAUUUUAACCCUAACGCCAAAAACCUUAAACCUUACCCUAGCCUUAAAAUCUAAUACCCGGGUAUUACCUUCAGGAAGCCUGAACACCCCAAAUAUUUUUUUCUUCAUUUUACAUUUUUUUUGGUGUAACCAACUCCAAAAGGUUGGAAAAGAGUUCCUACAAAGGUUUUGGACAGUGAUUUUAACCCUAAUGCCAAAAAACUUAAACCUUACCCUAGCCUUAAAAUCUAAUACCCGGGUAUUACAUUCCGGAACCCCGAAAACCCCAAAUAUUUUUUUUUCAUUUUUCUUUUUUUUUUUGGUCUAACUAACUCCAAAAGGUUGGAAAAGAGUUCCUACAAAGGUUUUGGACAGUGAUUUUAACCCUAAUGCCAAAAAACUUAAACCUUACCAUAGCCCCAAAACCUAAUACCCGGGUAUUACUUUCAGGGAGCCCGAAAACCCCCAAUAAUAUUUUUUUCUUUUUUCAUAUUUUUAAAUCUAACUAACUCCAAAAGGUUGGAAAAGAGUUCCUACAAAGGUUUUGGACAGUGAUUUUAACCCUAACGCCAAAAAACUUAAACCUUACCAUAGCCCCAAAACCUAAUACCCGGGUAUUACUUUCAGGGAGCCCGAAAACCCCCAUUAAUAUUUUUUUCUUUUUUCAUACUUUUUGGUCUAACUAACUCCAAAAGGUUCGAAAAGAGUUCCUACAAAGGUUUUGGACAGUGAUUUUAACCCUAACGCCAAAAAACUUAAACCUUUCCCUGGCCUUAAAAUCUAAUACCCGGGUAUUACAUUCAAGAAGCCCGUGAACCCCAAAUAUUUUUUUUUUCAUUUUUCAUUUUUUUUUUGGUCUAACUAACUCCAAAAGGUUGAAAAAGAGUUCCUACAAAGGUUUUGGACAGUGAUUUUAACCCUAACGCCAAAAACCUUAAACCUUACCAUAGCCCCAUAACCUGAUACCCGGGUAUUACUUUUAGGAAGCCUGAACACCCCAAAUAUAUAUUUUUUAAUUUUUCAUUUUUUUUUGGUCUUACUAAAUCCAAAAGGUUGGAAAAGAGUUCCUACAAAGGUUUUGGACAGUGAUUUCAAACCUAACGCCAAAACGUUAAACCUUACCAUAGCCCCAUAACCUGAUACCCGGGUAUUACUUUUAGGAAGCCUGAACACCCCAAAUAUUUUUUUUUCAUUUUUCUUUUUUUUUUUGGUCUAACUAACUCCAAAAGGUUGGAAAAGAGUUCCUACAAAGGUUUUGGACAGUGAUUUUAACCCUAACGCCAAAAAACUUAAACCUUACCAUAGCCCCAAAACCUAAUACCCGGGUAUUACCUUCCUGAAGCCUGAACACCCCAAAUAUUUUUUUCUUCAUUUUACAUUUUUGUUGGUGUAACCAACUCCAAAAGGUUGGAAAAGAGUUCCUACAAAGGUUUUGGACAGUGAUUUUAACCCUAACGCCAAAAAACUUAAACCUUACCAUAGCCCCAUAACCUAAUACCCGGGUAUUACUUUUAGGAAGCCUGAACACCCCAAAUAUAUUUUUUUUAAUUUUUCAUUUUUUUUUGGUCGAACUAACUCCAAAAGGUUGUUAAAGAGUUCCUACAAAGGUUUUGGACAGUGAUUUUAAACCUAACGCCAAAACGUUAAACCUUACCAUAGCCCCAUAACCUAAUACCCGGGUAUUACUUUUAGGAAGCCUGAACACCCCAAAUAUUUUUUUUUCAUUUUUCUUUUUUUUUUGGUCUAACUAACUCCAAAAGGUUGGAAAAGAGUUCCUACAAAGGUUUUGGACAGUGAUUUUAACCCUAACGCCAAAAACCUUAAACCUUUCCCUAGUCCCAAAACCUAAUACACGGGUAUUACUUUCAGGGAGCCCGAAAACCCCCAAUAAUAUUUUUUUCUUUUUUCAGAUUUUUUGGUCUAACUAACUCCAAAAGGUUGGAAAAGAGUUCCUACAAAGGUUUUGGACAGUGAUUUUAACCCUAACGCCAAAAACCUUAAACCUUACCCUAGCCUUGAAAUCUAAUACCCGGGUAUUACCUUCAGGAAGCCUGAAAACCCCAAAUAUUUUUUUCUUCAUUUUACAUUUUUGUUGGUGUAACUAACUCCAAAAGGUUGGAAAAGAGUUCCUACAAAGGUUUUGGACAGUGAUUUUAACCCUAAUGCCAAAAAACUUAAACCUUACCCUAGCCUCAAAAUCUAAUACCCGGGUAUUACAUUCAGGAACCCCGAAAACCCCAAAUAUUGUUUUUUAAUUUUUCAUUUUUUUUGGUCUAACUAACUCCAAAAGGUUGGAAAAGAGUUCCUACAAAGGUUUUGGACAGUGAUUUUAACCCUAACGCCAAAAAACUUAAACCUUACCAUAGCCCCAAAACCUAAUACCUGGGUAUUACUUUUAGGAGGCCUGAACACCCCAAAUAUUUUUUUUUCAUUUUUCUUUUUUUUUUGGUCUAACCAACUCCAAAAGGUUGGAAAAGUGUUCCUACAAAGGUUUUGGACAGUGAUUUUAACCCUAACGCCAAAAACCUUAAACCUUACCCUAGCCUUAAAAUCUAAUACCCGGGUAUUACAUUCAGGAAGCCCGAAAACCCCAAAUAUUUUUUUUUUUCAUUUUACAUUUUUUUUGGUGUAACCAACUCCAAAAGGUUGGAAAAGAGUUCCUACAAAGGUUUUGGACAGUGAUUUUAACCCUAAUGCCAAAAAACUUAAACCUUACCCUAGCCUUAAAAUCUAAUACCCGGGUAUUACAUUCCGGAACCCCGAAAACCCCAAAUAUUUUUUUCUUCAUUUUACAUUUUUGUUGGUGUAACCAACUCCAAAAGGUUGGAAAAGAGUUCCUACAAAGGUUUUGGACAGUGAUUUUAACCCUAAUGCCAAAAAACUUAAACCUUACCCUAGCCUUAAAAUCUAAUACCCGGGUAUUACAUUCCGGAACCCCGAAAACCCCAAAUAUUUUUUUUUCAUUUUUCUUUUUUUUUUUGGUCUAACUAACUCCAAAAGGUUGGAAAAGAGUUCCUACAAAGGUUUUGGACAGUGAUUUUAACCCUAACGCCAAAAAACUUAAACCUUACCAUAGCCCCAAAACCUAAUACCCGGGUAUUACUUUCAGGGAGCCCGAAAACCCCCAAUAAUAUUUUUUUCUUUUUUCAUAUUUUUUGGUCUAACUAACUCCAAAAGGUUGGAAAAGAGUUCCUACAAAGGUUUUGGACAGUGAUUUUAACCCUAACGCCAAAAAACUUAAACCUUACCAUAGCCCCAAAACCUAAUACCCGGGUAUUACUUUCAGGAGCCCGAAAACCCCCAAUAAUAUUUUUUUUUUUUUUCAUAUUUUUUGGUCUAACUAACUCCAAAAGGUUGGAAAAGAGUUCCUACAAAGGUUUUGGACAGUGAUUUUAACCCUAACGCCAAAAAACUUAAACCUUACCAUAGCCCCAAAACCUAAUACCCGGGUAUUACUUUCAGGGAGCCCGAAAACCCCCAUUAAUAUUUUUUUCUUUUUUCAUACUUUUUGGUCUAACUAACUCCAAAAGGUUGGAAAAGAGUUCCUACAAAGGUUUUGGACAGUGAUUUUAACCCUAACGCCAAAAAACUUAAACCUUUCCCUAGCCUUAAAAUCUAAUACCCGGGUAUUACAUUCAAGAAGCCCGUGAACCCCAAAUAUUUUUUUUUUCAUUUUUCAUUUUUUUUUUGGUCUAACUAACUCCAAAAGGUUGAAAAAGAGUUCCUACAAAGGUUUUGGACAGUGAUUUUAACCCUAACGCCAAAAACCUUAAACCUUACCCUAGCCUUAAAAUCUAAUACCCGGGUAUUACCUUCAGGAAGCCUGAACACCCCAAAUAUUUUUUUCUUCAUUUUACAUUUUUGUUGGUGUAACCAACUCCAAAAGGUUGGAAAAGAGUUCCUACAAAGGUUUUGGACAGUGAUUUUAACCCUAAUGCCAAAAAACUUAAACCUUACCCUAGCCUUAAAAUCUAAUACCCGGGUAUUACAUUCAGGAACCCCGAAAACCCCAAAUAUUUUUUUUUCAUUUUUCUUUUUUUUUUUGGUCUAACUAACUCCAAAAGGUUGGAAAAGAGUUCCUACAAAGGUUUUGGACAGUGAUUUUAACCCUAAUGCCAAAAAACUUAAACCUUACCAUAGCCCCAAAACCUAAUACCCGGGUAUUACUUUCAGGGAGCCCGAAAACCCCCAAUAAUAUUUUUUUCUUUUUUCAUUUUUUUUGGUCUAACUAACUCCAAAAGGUUGGAAAAGAGUUCCUACAAAGGUUUUGGACAGUGAUUUUAACCCUAACGCCAAAACGUUUAAACCUUACCAUAGCCCCAAAACCUAAUACCCGGGUAUUACUUUCAGGGAGCCCGAAAACCCCCAUUAAUAUUUUUUUCUUUUUUCAUACUUUUUGGUCUAACUAACUCCAAAAGGUUGGAAAAGAGUUCCUACAAAGGUUUUGGACAGUGAUUUUAACCCUAACGCCAAAAAACUUAAACCUUUCCCUGGCCUUAAAAUCUAAUACCCGGGUAUUACAUUCAGGAAGCCCGUGAACCCCAAAUAUUUUUUUCAUUUUUCAUUUUUUUUUGGUCUAACUAACUCCAAAAGGUUGAAAAAGAGUUCCUACAAAGGUUUUGGACAGUGAUUUUAACCCUAACGCCAAAAACCUUAAACCUUACCAUAGCCCCAUAACCUAAUACCCGGGUAUUACUUUUAGGAAGCCUGAACACCCCAAAUAUAUUUUUUUUAAUUUUUCAUUUUUUUUUGGUCUUACUAAAUCCAAAAGGUUGUUCAAGAGUUCCUACAAAGGUUUUGGACAGUGAUUUCAAACCUAACGCCAAAACGUUAAACCUUACCAUAGCCCCAUAACCUAAUACCCGGGUAUUACUUUUAGGAAGCCUGAACACCCCAAAUAUUUUUUUUUCAUUUUUCUUUUUUUUUUGGUCUAACUAACUCCAAAAGGUUGGAAAAGAGUUCCUACAAAGGUUUUGGACAGUGAUUUUAACCCUAACGCCAAAAAACUUAAACCUUACCAUAGCCCCAAAACCUAAUACCCGGGUAUUACCUUCAGGAAGCCUGAACACCCCAAAUAUUUUUUUCUUCAUUUUACAUUUUUGUUGGUGUAACCAACUCCAAAAGGUUGGAAAAGAGUUCCUACAAAGGUUUUGGACAGUGAUUUUAACCCUAACGCCAAAAAACUUAAACCUUACCAUAGCCCCAUAACCUAAUACCCGGGUAUUACUUUUAGGAAGCCUGAACACCCCAAAUAUAUUUUUUUAAUUUUUCAUUUUUUUUUGGUCUAACUAACUCCAAAAGGUUGGAAAAGAGUUCCUACAAAGGUUUUGGACAGUGAUUUUAACCCUAACGCCAAAAACUUAAACCUUACCAUAGCCCCAUAACCUAAUACCCGGGUAUUACUUUUAGGAAGCCUGAACACCCCAAAUAUUUUUUUUUCAUUUUUCCUUUUUUUUUGGUCUAACUAACUCCAAAAGGUUGGAAAAGAGUUCCUACAAAGGUUUUGGACAGUGAUUUUAACCCUAACGCCAAAACCCUUAAACCUUUCCCUAGUCCCAAAACCUAAUACACGGGUAUUACUUUCAGGGAGCCCGAAAACCCCCAAUAAUAUUUUUUUCUUUUUUCAGAUUUUUUGGUCUAACUAACUCCAAAAGGUUGGAAAAGAGUUCCUACAAAGGUUUUGGACAGUGAUUUUAACCCUAACGCCAAAAACCUUAAACCUUACCCUAGCCUUGAAAUCUAAUACCCGGGUAUUACCUUCAGGAAGCCUGAAAACCCCAAAUAUUUUUUUCUUCAUUUUACAUUUUUGUUGGUGUAACUAACUCCAAAAGGUUGGAAAAGAGUUCCUACAAAGGUUUUGGACAGUGAUUUUAACCCUAAUGCCAAAAAACUUAAACCUUACCCUAGCCUCAAAAUCUAAUACCCGGGUAUUACAUUCAGGAACCCCGAAAACCCCAAAUAUUUUUUUUUAAUUUUUCAUUUUUUUUGGUCUAACUAACUCCAAAAGGUUGGAAAAGAGUUCCUACAAAGGUUUUGGACAGUGAUUUUAACCCUAAUGCCAAAAAACUUAAACCUUACCAUAGCCCCAUAACCUAAUACCUGGGUAUUACUUUUAGGAAGCCUGAACACCCCAAAUAUUUUUUUUUCAUUUUUCUUUUUUUUUUUGGUCUAACCAACUCCAAAAGGUUGGAAAAGUGUUCCUACAAAGGUUUUGGACAGUGAUUUUAACCCUAAUGCCAAAAACCUUAAACCUUACCCUAGCCUUAAAAUCUAAUACCCGGGUAUUACAUUCAGGAAGCCCGAAAACCCCAAAUAUUUUUUUUUUUCAUUUUACAUUUUUUUUGGUCUAACUAACUCCAAAAGGUUGGAAAAGAGUUCCUACAAAGGUUUUGGACAGUGAUUUUAACCCUAACGCCAAAAAACUUAAACCUUACCCUAGCCUUAAAAUCUAAUACCCGGGUAUUACAUUCAGGAACCCCGAAAACCCCAAAUAUUUUUUUCUUCAUUUUACAUUUUUGUUGGUCUAACUAACUCCAAAAGGUUGGAAAAGAGUUCCUACAAAGGUUUUGGACAGUGAUUUUAACCCUAACGCCAAAAAACUUAAACCUUACCCUAGCCUUAAAAUCUAAUACCCGGGUAUUACAUUCCGGAACCCCGAAAACCCCAAAUAUUUUUUUUUCAUUUUUCUUUUUUUUUUUUGGUCUAACUAACUCCAAAAGGUUGGAAAAGAGUUCCUACAAAGGUUUUGGACAGUGAUUUUAACCCUAACGCCAAAAAACUUAAACCUUACCAUAGCCCCAAAACCUAAUACCCGGGUAUUACUUUCAGGGAGCCCGAAAACCCCCAAUAAUAUUUUUUUUCUUUUUUCAUAUUUUUUGGUCUAACUAACUCCAAAAGGUUGGAAAAGAGUUCCUACAAAGGUUUUGGACAGUGAUUUUAACCCUAACGCCAAAAAACUUAAACCUUACCAUAGCCCCAAAACCUAAUACCCGGGUAUUACUUUCAGGGAGCCCGAAAACCCCCAAUAAUAUUUUUUUCUUUUUUCAUAUUUUUAAAUCUAACUAACUCCAAAAGGUUGAAAAAGAGUUCCUACAAAGGUUUUGGACAGUGAUUUUAACCCUAACGCCAAAAAACUUAAACCUUACCAUAGCCCCAAAACCUAAUACCCGGGUAUUACUUUCAGGGAGCCCGAAAACCCCCAAUAAUAUUUUUUUCUUUUUUCAUACUUUUUGGUCUAACUAACUCCAAAAGGUUGGAAAAGAGUUCCUACAAAGGUUUUGGACAGUGAUUUUAACCCUAACGCCAAAAAACUUAAACCUUUCCCUGGCCUUAAAAUCUAAUACCCGGGUAUUACAUUCAAGAAGCCCGUGAACCCCAAAUAUUUUUUUUUCAUUUUUCAUUUUUUUUUUGGUCUAACUAACUCCAAAAGGUUGGAAAAGAGUUCCUACAAAGGUUUUGGACAGUGAUUUUAACCCUAACGCCAAAAACCUUAAACCUUACCAUAGCCCCAUAACCUAAUACCCAGGUAUUACUUUUAGGAAGCCUGAACACCCCAAAUAUUUUUUCUUCAUUUUACAUUUUUGUUGGUGUAACCAACUCCAAAAGGUUGGAAAAGAGUUCCUACAAAGGUUUUGGACAGUGAUUUUAAACCUAACGCCAAAACGUUAAACCUUACCAUAGCCCCAUAACCUAAUACCCGGGUAUUACUUUUAGGAAGCCUGAACACCCCAAAUAUUUUUUUCUUCAUUUUACAUUUUUUUUGGUGUAACCAACUCCAAAAGGUUGGAAAAGAGUUCCUACAAAGGUUUUGGACAGUGAUUUUAACCCUAACGCCAAAAAACUUAAACCUUACCAUAGCCCCAUAACCUAAUACCCGGGUAUUACUUUUAGGAAGCCUGAACACCCCAAAUAUAUUUUUUUUAAUUUUUCAUUUUUUUUUGGUCUAACUAACUCCAAAAGGUUGGAAAAGAGUUCCUACAAAGGUUUUGGACAGUGAUUUUAACCCUAACGCCAAAAACCUUAAACCUUACCAUAGCCCCAUAACCUAAUACCCGGGUAUUACUUUUAGGAAGCCUGAACACCCCAAAUAUUUUUUUUUCAUUUUUCUUUUUUUUUUGGUCUAACUAACUCCAAAAGGUUGGAAAAGAGUUCCUACAAAGGUUUUGGACAGUGAUUUUAACCCUAACGCCAAAAACUUAAACCUUUCCCUAGCCCAAAAACUAAUACACGGGUAUUACUUUCAGGGAGCCCGAAAACCCCCAAAAUAUUUUUUUCUUUUUUCAGAUUUUUUGGUCUAACUAACUCCAAAAGGUUGGAAAAGAGUUCCUACAAAGGUUUUGGACAGUGAUUUUAACCCUAACGCCAAAAACCUUAAACCUUACCCUAGCCUUGAAAUCUAAUACCCGGGUAUUACCUUCAGGAAGCCUGAAAACCCCAAAUAUUUUUUUCUUCAUUUUACAUUUUUGUUCUAACUAACUCCAAAAGGUUGGAAAAGAGUUCCUACAAAGGUUUUGGACAGUGAUUUUAACCCUAAUGCCAAAAAACUUAAACCUUACCCUAGCCUCAAAAUCUAAUACCCGGGUAUUACAUUCAGGAACCCCGAAAACCCCAAAUAUUGUUUUUUAAUUUUUCAUUUUUUUUGGUCUAACUAACUCCAAAAGGUUGGAAAAGAGUUCCCACAAAGGUUUUGGACAGUGAUUUUAACCCUAACGCCAAAAAACUUAAACCUUACCAUAGCCCAAUAACCCUAAUACCUGGGUAUUACUUUUAGGAAGCCUGAACACCCCAAAUAUUUUUUUUUCAUUUUUCUUUUUUUUUUGGUCUAACUAACUCCAAAAGGUUGGAAAAGAGUUCCUACAAAGGUUUUGGACAGUGAUUUUAACCCUAAUGCCAAAAAACUUAAACCUUACCCUGGCCUUAAAAUCUAAUACCCGGGUAUUACAUUCAGGAAGCCCGAAAACCCCAAAUAUUUUUUUUUUUCAUUUUACAUUUUUUUUGGUGUAACCAACUCCAAAAGGUUGGAAAAGAGUUCCUACAAAGGUUUUGGACAGUGAUUUUAACCCUAAUGCCAAAAAACUUAAACCUUACCCUAGCCUUAAAAUCUAAUACCCGGGUAUUACAUUCCGGAACCCCGAAAACCCCAAAUAUUGUUUUUUCAUUUUUCAUUUUUUUUUGGUCUAACUAACUCCAAAAGGUUGGAAAAGAGUUCCUACAAAGGUUUUGGACAGUGAUUUUAACCCUAACGCCAAAAAACUUAAACCUUACCAUAGCCCCAAAACCUAAUACCCGGGUAUUACUUUCAGGGAGCCCGAAAACCCCCAAUAAUAUUUUUUUCUUUUUUCAUAUUUUUUGGUCUAACUAACUCCAAAAGGUUGGAAAAGAGUUCCUACAAAGGUUUUGGACAGUGAUUUUAACCCUAACGCCAAAAAACUUAAACCUUACCAUAGCCCCAUAACCUAAUACCUGGGUAUUACUUUUAGGAGGCCUGAACACCCCAAAUAUUUUUUUUUCAUUUUUCUUUUUUUUUUGGUCUAACCAACUCCAAAAGGUUGGAAAAGUGUUCCUACAAAGGUUUUGGACAGUGAUUUUAACCCUAAUGCCAAAAAACUUAAACCUUACCCUGGCCUUAAAAUCUAAUACCCGGGUAUUACAUUCAGGAAGCCCGUAAACCCCAAAUAUUUUUUUUUUCAUUUUUCAUUUUUUUUUGGUCUAACUAACUCCAAAAGGUUGAAAAAGAGUUCCUACAAAGGUUUUGGACAGUGAUUUCAACCCUAACGCCAAAAACCUUAAACCUUACCAUAGCCCCAAAACCUAAUACCCGGGUAUUACUUUCAGGGAGCCCGAAAACCCCCAAUAAUAUUUUUUUCUUUUUUCAUAUUUUUUGGUCUAACUAACUCCAAAAGGUUGGAAAAGAGUUCCUACAAAGGUUUUGGACAGUGAUUUUAACCCUAACGCCAAAAAACUUAAACCUUACCAUAGCCCCAAAACCUAAUACCCGGGUAUUACUUUCAGGAGCCCGAAAACCCCCAAUAAUAUUUUUUUCUUUUUUCAUACUUUUUUGGUCUAACUAACUCCAAAAGGUUGGAAAAGAGUUCCUACAAAGGUUUUGGACAGUGAUUUUAACCCUAACGCCAAAAAACUUAAACCUUUCCCUGGCCUUAAAAUCUAAUACCCGGGUAUUACAUUCAGGAAGCCCGUAAACCCCAAAUAUUUUUUUUUCAUUUUUCAUUUUUUUUUGGUCUAACUAACUCUAAAAGGUUGAAAAAGAGUUCCUACAAAGGUUUUGGACAGUGAUUUUAAACCUAACGCCAAAAACCUUAAACCUUACCAUAGCCCCAUAACCUAAUACCCGGGUACUACUUUUAGGAAGCCUGAACACCCCAAAUAUAUAUUUUUUAAUUUUUCAUUAUUUUUUGGUCUAACUAACUCCAAAAGGUUGGAAAAGAGUUCCUACAAAGGUUUUGGACAGUGAUUUUAACCCUAACGCCAAAACCCUUAAACCUUUCCCUAGUCCCAAAACCUAAUACACGGGUAUUACUUUCAGGGAGCCCGAAAACCCCCAAUAAUAUUUUUUUCUUUUUUCAUUUUUUUUUGGUCUAACUAACUCCAAAAGGUUGGAAAAGAGUUCCUACAAAGGUUUUGGACAGUGAUUUUAACCCUAACGCCAAAAAACUUAAACCUUACCAUAGCCCCAAAACCUAAUACCCGGGUAUUACUUUCAGGGAGCCCGAAAACCCCCAAUAUUAUUUUUUUCUUUUUUCAUAUUUUUGGUCUAACUAACUCCAAAAGGUUGGAAAAGAGUUCCUACAAAGGUUUUGGACAGUGAUUUUAACCCUAACGCCAAAAAACUUAAACCUUACCAUAGCCCCAAAACCUAAUACCCGGGUAUUACUUUCAGGAGCCCGAAAACCCCCAAUAAUAUUUUUUUCUUUUUUCAUAUUUUUUGGUCUAACUAACUCCAAAAGGUUGGAAAAGAGUUCCUACAAAGGUUUUGGACAGUGAUUUUAACCCUAAUGCCAAAAAACUUAAACCUUACCCUGGCCUUAAAAUCUAAUACCCGGGUAUUACAUUCAGGAAGCCCGUAAACCCCAAAUAUUUUUUUUUCAUUUUUCAUUUUUUUUUGGUCUAACUAACUCCAAAAGGUUGGAAAAAGAGUUCCUACAAAGGUUUUGGACAGUGAUUUUAACCCUAACGCCAAAAACCUUAAACCUUACCAUAGCCCCAAAACCUAAUACCCGGGUAUUACUUUCAGGGAGCCCGAAAACCCCCAAUAAUAUUUUUUUCUUUUUUCAUAUUUUUUGGUCUAACUAACUCCAAAAGGUUGGAAAAGAGUUCCUACAAAGGUUUUGGACAGUGAUUUUAACCCUAACGCCAAAAAACUUAAACCUUUCCCUAGCCUUAAAAUCUAAUACCCGGGUAUUACAUUCAGGAAGCCCGUAAACCCCAAAUAUUUUUUUUUUCAUUUUUCAUUUUUUUUUGGUCUAACUAACUCCAAAAGGUUGGAAAAAGAGUUCCUACAAAGGUUUUGGACAGUGAUUUUAACCCUAACGCCAAAAACCUUAAACCUUACCAUAGCCCCAUAACCUAAUACCCGGGUACUACUUUUAGGAAGCCUGAACACCCCAAAUAUAUUUUUUUUAAUUUUUCAUUAUUUUUUGGUCUAACUAACUCCAAAAGGUUGGAAAAGAGUUGCUACAAAGGUUUUGGACAGUGAUUUUAACCCUAACGCCAAAAAACUUAAACCUUUCCCUAGUCCCAAAACCUAAUACACGGGUAUUACUUUCAGGGAGCCCGAAAACCCCCAAUAAUAUUUUUUUCUUUUUUCAUAUUUUUUGGUCUAACUAACUCCAAAAGGUUGGAAAAGAGUUCCUACAAAGGUUUUGGACAGUGAUUUUAACCCUAACGCCAAAAAACUUAAACCUUACCAUAGCCCCAAAACCUAAUACCCGGGUAUUACUUUCAGGGAGCCCGAAAACCCCCAAUAUUAUUUUUUUCUUUUUUCAUACUUUUUGGUCUAACUAACUCCAAAAGGUUGGAAAAGAGUUCCUACAAAGGUUUUGGACAGUGAUUUUAACCCUAACGCCAAAAAACUUAAACCUUACCAUAGCCCCAAAACCUAAUACCCGGGUAUUACUUUCAGGGAGCCCGAAAACCCCCAAUAAUAUUUUUUUCUUUUUUCAUACUUUUUGGUCUAACCAACUCCAAAAGGUUGGAAAAGUGUUCCUACAAAGGUUUUGGACAGUGAUUUUAACCCUAAUGCCAAAAAACUUAAACCUUACCCUAGCCUUAAAAUCUAAUACCCGGGUAUUACAUUCAGGAAGCCCGUAAACCCCAAAUAUUUUUUUUUCAUUUUUCAUUUUUUUUUGGUCUAACUAACUCCAAAAGGUUGGAAAAGAGUUCCUACAAAGGUUUUGGACAGUGAUUUUAACCCUAACGCCAAAAACCUUAAACCUUACCAUAGCCCCAAAACCUAAUACCCGGGUAUUACUUUCAGGGAGCCCGAAAACCCCCAAUAAUAUUUUUUUCUUUUUUCAUAUUUUUUGGUCUAACUAACUCCAAAAGGUUGGAAAAGAGUUCCUACAAAGGUUUUGGACAGUGAUUUUAACCCUAACGCCAAAAAACUUAAACCUUACCAUAGCCCCAAAACCUAAUACCCGGGUAUUACUUUCAGGAGCCCGAAAACCCCCAAUAAUAUUUUUUUCUUUUUUCAUAUUUUUUUGGUCUAACUAACUCCAAAAGGUUGGAAAAGAGUUCCUACAAAGGUUUUGGACAGUGAUUUUAACCCUAACGCCAAAAAACUUAAACCUUACCAUAGCCCCAUAACCUAAUACCCGGGUAUUACUUUUAGGAAGCCUGAACACCCCAAAUAUAUUUUUUUUAAUUUUUCAUUUUUUUUUGGUCGAACUAACUCCAAAAGGUUGUUAAAGAGUUCCUACAAAGGUUUUGGACAGUGAUUUUAAACCUAACGCCAAAACGUUAAACCUUACCAUAGCCCCAUAACCUAAUACCCGGGUAUUACUUUCAGGGAGCCCGAAAACCCCCAAUAAUAUUUUUUUCUUUUUUCAUAUUUUUUGGUCUAACUAACUCCAAAAGGUUGGAAAAGAGUUCCUACAAAGGUUUUGGACAGUGAUUUUAACCCUAACGCCAAAAAACUUAAACCUUACCAUAGCCCCAUAACCUAAUACCCGGGUAUUACUUUUAGGAAGCCUGAACACCCCAAAUAUAUUUUUUUUCUUUUUCAUUUUUUUUGGUCUAACUAACUCCAAAAGGUUGGAAAAGAGUUCCUACAAAGGUUUUGGACAGUGAUUUUAACCCUAACGCCAAAAACUUAAACCUUACCAUAGCCCCAAACCUAAUACCCGGGUAUUACUUUCAGGAAGCCUGAACACCCCAAAUAUUUUUUUUUCAUUUUUCUUUUUUUUUUGGUCUAACUAACUCCAAAAGGUUGGAAAAGAGUUCCUACAAAGGUUUUGGACAGUGAUUUUAACCCUAACGCCAAAACCCUUAAACCUUUCCCUAGUCCCAAAACCUAAUACCCGGGUAUUACUUUCAGGGAGCCCGAAAACCCCCAAUAAUAUUUUUUUCUUUUUUCAGAUUUUUUGGUCUAACUAACUCCAAAAGGUUGGAAAAGAGUUCCUACAAAGGUUUUGGACAGUGAUUUUAACCCUAACGCCAAAAACUUAAACCUUACCCUAGCCUUAAAAUCUAAUACCCGGGUAUUACCUUCAGGAAGCCCGAAAACCCCAAAUAUUUUUUUUUUCAUUUUUACAUUUUUUUGGUCUAACUAACUCCAAAAGGUUGGAAAAGAGUUCCUACAAAGGUUUUGGACAGUGAUUUUAACCCUAACGCCAAAAAACUUAAACCUUACCCUAGCCUAAAAUCUAAUACCCGGGUAUUACAUUCAGGAAGCCCGAAAACCCCAAAUAUUGUUUUUUAAUUUUUCAUUUUUUUUGGUCUAACUAACUCCAAAAGGUUGGAAAAGAGUUCCCACAAAGGUUUUGGACAGUGAUUUUAACCCUAACGCCAAAAAACUUAAACCUUACCAUAGCCCAAUAACCUAAUACCUGGGUAUUACUUUUAGGAAGCCUGAACACCCCAAAUAUUUUUUUUUCAUUUUUCUUUUUUUUUUUUGGUCUAACCAACUCCAAAAGGUUGGAAAAGAGUUCCUACAAAGGUUUUGGACAGUGAUUUUAACCCUAAUGCCAAAAAACUUAAACCUUACCCUAGCCUUAAAAUCUAAUACCCGGGUAUUACAUUCAGGAAGCCCGAAAACCCCAAAUAUUUUUUUUUUUCAUUUUACAUUUUUUUUGGUGUAACCAACUCCAAAAGGUUGGAAAAGAGUUCCUACAAAGGUUUUGGACAGUGAUUUUAACCCUAAUGCCAAAAAACUUAAACCUUACCCUAGCCUUAAAAUCUAAUACCCGGGUAUUACAUUCCGGAACCCCGAAAACCCCAAAUAUUGUUUUUUCAUUUUUCUUUUUUUUUUGGUCUAACUAACUCCAAAAGGUUGGAAAAGAGUUCCUACAAAGGUUUUGGACAGUGAUUUUAACCCUAACGCCAAAAACCUUAAACCUUACCCUAGCCCAAAACCUAAUACCCGGGUAUUACUUUCAGGAAGCCCGAAAACCCCCAAUAAUAUUUUUUUCUUUUUUCAGAUUUUUUGGUCUAACUAACUCCAAAAGGUUGGAAAAGAGUUCCUACAAAGGUUUUGGACAGUGAUUUUAACCCUAACGCCAAAAACCUUAAACCUUACCCUAGCCUUGAAAUCUAAUACCCGGGUAUUACCUUCAGGAAGCCUGAAAACCCCAAAUAUUUUUUUUUUCAUUUUUCAUUUUUUUGGUCUAACUAACUCCAAAAGGUUGGAAAAGAGUUCCUACAAAGGUUUUGGACAGUGAUUUUAACCCUAAUGCCAAAAAACUUAAACCUUACCCUAGCCUCAAAAUCUAAUACCCGGGUAUUACAUUCAGGAAGCCCGAAAACCCCAAAUAUUGUUUUUUAAUUUUUCAUUUUUUUUGGUCUAACUAACUCCAAAAGGUUGGAAAAGAGUUCCUACAAAGGUUUUGGACAGUGAUUUUAACCCUAACGCCAAAAAACUUAAACCUUACCAUAGCCCAAUAACCCUAAUACCUGGGUAUUACUUUUAGGAAGCCUGAACACCCCAAAUAUUUUUUUUUCAUUUUUCUUUUUUUUUGGUCUAACCAACUCCAAAAGGUUGGAAAAGUGUUCCUACAAAGGUUUUGGACAGUGAUUUUAACCCUAAUGCCAAAAAACUUAAACCUUACCCUGGCCUUAAAAUCUAAUACCCGGGUAUUACAUUCAGGAAGCCCGAAAACCCCAAAUAUUUUUUUUUUUCAUUUUACAUUUUUUUUGGUGUAACCAACUCCAAAAGGUUGGAAAAGAGUUCCUACAAAGGUUUUGGACAGUGAUUUUAACCCUAAUGCCAAAAAACUUAAACCUUACCCUAGCCUUAAAAUCUAAUACCCGGGUAUUACAUUCAGGAACCCCGAAAACCCCAAAUAUUUUUUUUUCAUUUUUCAUUUUUUUUUGGUCUAACUAACUCCAAAAGGUUGGAAAAGAGUUCCUACAAAGGUUUUGGACAGUGAUUUUAACCCUAACGCCAAAAAACUUAAACCUUACCAUAGCCCCAAAACCUAAUACCCGGGUAUUACUUUCAGGGAGCCCGAAAACCCCCAAUAAUAUUUUUUUCUUUUUUCAUAUUUUUUGGUCUAACUAACUCCAAAAGGUUGGAAAAGAGUUCCUACAAAGGUUUUGGACAGUGAUUUUAACCCUAACGCCAAAAAACUUAAACCUUACCAUAGCCCCAUAACCUAAUACCUGGGUAUUACUUUUAGGAAGCCUGAACACCCCAAAUAUUUUUUUUUCAUUUUUCUUUUUUUUUUGGUCUAACUAACUCCAAAAGGUUGGAAAAGAGUUCCUACAAAGGUUUUGGACAGUGAUUUUAACCCUAACGCCAAAAAACUUAAACCUUACCCUGGCCUUAAAAUCUAAUACCCGGGUAUUACAUUCAGGAAGCCCGUAAACCCCAAAUAUUUUUUUUUUCAUUUUUCAUUUUUUUUUGGUCUAACUAACUCCAAAAGGUUGAAAAAGAGUUCCUACAAAGGUUUUGGACAGUGAUUUCAACCCUAAAGCCAAAAACCUUAAACCUUACCAUAGCCCCAAAACCUAAUACCCGGGUAUUACUUUCAGGGAGCCCGAAAACCCCCAAUAAUAUUUUUUUCUUUUUUCAUAUUUUUUGGUCUAACUAACUCCAAAAGGUUGGAGAAGAGUUCCUACAAAGGUUUUGGACAGUGAUUUUAACCCUAACGCCAAAAAACUUAAACCUUACCAUAGCCCCAAAACCUAAUACCCGGGUAUUACUUUCAGGGAGCCCGAAAACCCCCAAUAAUAUUUUUUUCUUUUUUCAUACUUUUUGGUCUAACUAACUCCAAAAGGUUGGAAAAGAGUUCCUACAAAGGUUUUGGACAGUGAUUUUAACCCUAACGCCAAAAAACUUAAACCUUUCCCUGGCCUUAAAAUCUAAUACCCGGGUAUUACAUUCAGGAAGCCCGUAAACCCCAAAUAUUUUUUUUUUCAUUUUUCAUUUUUUUUUUGGUCUAACUAACUCCAAAAGGUUGGAAAAGAGUUCCUACAAAGGUUUUGGACAGUGAUUUUAACCCUAACGCCAAAAACCUUAAACCUUACCAUAGCCCCAUAACCUAAUACCCGGGUACUACUUUUAGGAAGCCUGAACACCCCAAAUAUAUUUUUUUUAAUUUUUCAUUAUUUUUUGGUCUAACUAACUCCAAAAGGUUGGAAAAGAGUUGCUACAAAGGUUUUGGACAGUGAUUUUAACCCUAACGCCAAAACCCUUAAACCUUUCCCUAGUCCCAAAACCUAAUACACGGGUAUUACUUUCAGGGAGCCCGAAAACCCCCAAUAAUAUUUUUUUCUUUUUUCAUAUUUUUUGGUCUAACUAACUCCAAAAGGUUGGAAAAGAGUUCCUACAAAGGUUUUGGACAGUGAUUUUAACCCUAACGCCAAAAAACUUAAACCUUACCAUAGCCCCAAAACCUAAUACCCGGGUAUUACUUUCAGGAAGCCAGAAAACCCCCAAAUAUUAUUUUUUCUUUCUUCAUUUUUUUUGGUCUAACUAACUCCAAAAGGUUGGAAAAGAGUUCCUACAAAGGUUUUGGACAGUGAUUUUAACCCUAAUGCCAAAAAACUUAAACCUUACCCUGGCCUUAAAAUCUAAUACCCGGGUAUUACAUUCAGGAAGCCCGUAAACCCCAAAUAUUUUUUUUUCAUUUUUCAUUUUUUUUUGGUCUAACUAACUCCAAAAGGUUGGAAAAGAGUUCCUACAAAGGUUUUGGACAGUGAUUUUAACCCUAACGCCAAAAACCUUAAACCUUACCAUAGCCCCAAAACCUAAUACCCGGGUAUUACUUUCAGGGAGCCCGAAAACCCCCAAUAAUAUUUUUUUCUUUUUUCAUAUUUUUUGGUCUAACUAACUCCAAAAGGUUGGAAAAGAGUUCCUACAAAGGUUUUGGACAGUGAUUUUAACCCUAACGCCAAAAAACUUAAACCUUACCAUAGCCCCAAAACCUAAUACCCGGGUAUUACUUUCAGGAAGCCAGAAAACCCCCAAUAAUAUUUUUUCUUUUUUCAUAUUUUUUGGUCUAACUAACUCCAAAAGGUUGGAAAAGAGUUCCUACAAAGGUUUUGGACAGUGAUUUUAACCCUAACGCCAAAAAACUUAAACCUUACCAUAGCACCAUAACCUAAUACCCGGGUAUUACUUUUAGGAAGCCUGAACACCCCAAAUAUAUUUUUUUUAAUUUUUCAUUUUUUUUUGGUCUAACUAACUCCAAAAGGUUGUUAAAGAGUUCCUACAAAGGUUUUGGACAGUGAUUUUAAACCUAACGCCAAAACGUUAAACCUUACCAUAGCCCCAUAACCUAAUACCCGGUUAUUACUUUCAGGGAGCCCGAAAACCCCCAAUAAUAUUUUUUUCUUUUUUCAUAUUUUUUGGUCUAACUAACUCCAAAAGGUUGGAAAAGAGUUCCUACAAAGGUUUUGGACAGUGAUUUUAACCCUAACGCCAAAAAACUUAAACCUUACCAUAGCCCCAUAACCUAAUACCCGGGUAUUACUUUUAGGAAGCCUGAACACCCCAAAUAUAUUUUUUUUAAUUUUUCAUUUUUUUUUGGUCUAACUAACUCCAAAAGGUUGGAAAAGAGUUCCUACAAAGGUUUUGGACAGUGAUUUUAACCCUAACGCCAAAAACUUAAACCUUACCAUAGCCCCAAAACCUAAUACCCGGGUAUUACUUUCAGGAAGCCUGAACACCCCAAAUAUUUUUUUUUCAUUUUUCUUUUUUUUUUGGUCUAACUAACUCCAAAAGGUUGGAAAAGAGUUCCUACAAAGGUUUUGGACAGUGAUUUUAACCCUAACGCCAAAACCUUAAACCUUACCAUAGCCCCAUAACCUAAUACCCGGGUAUUACUUUUAGGAAGCCCGUAAACCCCAAAUAUUUUUUUUUUCAUUUUUCAUUUUUUUUUUGGUCUAACUAACUCUGAAAGGUUGAAAAAGAGUUCCUACAAAGGUUUUGGACAGUGAUUUUAACCCUAACGCCAAAAACCUUAAACCUUACCAUAGCCCCAUAACCUAAUACCCGGGUACUACUUUUAGGAAGCCUGAACACCCCAAAUAUAUUUUUUUUAAUUUUUCAUUAUUUUUUGGUCUAACUAACUCCAAAAGGUUGGAAAAGAGUUGCUACAAAGGUUUUGGACAGUGAUUUUAACCCUAACGCCAAAACCCUUAAACCUUUCCCUAGUCCCAAAACCUAAUACACGGGUAUUACUUUCAGGGAGCCCGAAAACCCCCAAUAAUAUUUUUUUCUUUUUUCAUAUUUUUUGGUCUAACUAACUCCAAAAGGUUGGAAAAGAGUUCCUACAAAGGUUUUGGACAGUGAUUUUAACCCUAACGCCAAAAAACUUAAACCUUACCAUAGCCCCAAAACCUAAUACCCGGGUAUUACUUUCAGGGAGCCCGAAAACCCCCAAUAUUAUUUUUUUCUUUUUUCAUACUUUUUGGUCUAACUAACUCCAAAAGGUUGGAAAAGAGUUCCUACAAAGGUUUUGGACAGUGAUUUUAACCCUAACGCCAAAAAACUUAAACCUUACCAUAGCCCCAAAACCUAAUACCCGGGUAUUACUUUCAGGGAGCCCGAAAACCCCCAAUAAUAUUUUUUUCUUUUUUCAUACUUUUUGGUCUAACCAACUCCAAAAGGUUGGAAAAGUGUUCCUACAAAGGUUUUGGACAGUGAUUUUAACCCUAAUGCCAAAAAACUUAAACCUUACCCUAGCCUUAAAAUCUAAUACCCGGGUAUUACAUUCAGGAAGCCCGUAAACCCCAAAUAUUUUUUUUUUCAUUUUUCAUUUUUUUUUGGUCUAACUAACUCCAAAAGGUUGAAAAAGAGUUCCUACAAAGGUUUUGGACAGUGAUUUUAACCCUAACGCCAAAAACCUUAAACCUUACCAUAGCCCCAAAACCUAAUACCCGGGUAUUACUUUCAGGGAGCCCGAAAACCCCCAAUAAUAUUUUUUUCUUUUUUCAUAUUUUUUGGUCUAACUAACUCCAAAAGGUUGGAAAAGAGUUCCUACAAAGGUUUUGGACAGUGAUUUUAACCCUAACGCCAAAAAACUUAAACCUUACCAUAGCCCCAUAACCUAAUACCCGGGUAUUACUUUUAGGAAGCCUGAACACCCCAAAUAUAUUUUUUUUAAUUUUUCAUUUUUUUUUGGUCGAACUAACUCCAAAAGGUUGUUAAAGAGUUCCUACAAAGGUUUUGGACAGUGAUUUUAACCCUAACGCCAAAAAACUUAAACCUUACCAUAGCCCCAAAACCUAAUACCCGGGUAUUACUUUCAGGAGCCCGAAACCCCC